GUUAUUUCUACGCGACUUUCCAAAAAGUCUGCACUUUCUGCCCUGGCAGUGGCGUCUCAUUUUGGCCAAUGGGACAACAUAUUUUACUAUCUGCUCUAAGUAUGCGUGAGUAUGAAUGCUUGCAGAUCGCAAAGUAUUUCAUCUAUAUCCCAAUUCGUGGACGGGCCAAAGAUUUUAGUUGAGCCAAAGGCUUUCAGCAGUUAAUAUCACAAAAUUGUGUCUUUCCCCAGCGAACAAAAAAUCAAGAAAAUUCAAUCAAGAUGAGCGAAGCCCGUAACUUGUUCACCACCUUUGGCAUCCUGGCCAUCCUGCUUUUCUUCCUUUACCUCAUCUAUGCCGUAUUGUAAAAUGUUUCCGGCAAGUAGAAGGUCCUUAGGGCAGGACAGAAGCCAGCAGCCAAAUCAAAGCAAUCAAAAUGAAUGAGGCCAAAAGUUUGUUCACCACCUUCCUCAUCCUGGCCUUCCUGCUGUUCCUGCUCUACGCCUUCUACGAAGCCGCCUUCUAGGCCCAACUCCCCAAUCACCCAUGAUCACCAGUACCACCACCCAUCAAGGAUAGCUUACAUGUUGAAUUUCAAUUCCAAGCCGCCGGCCAUGCCAUCAUCUUGUGGCCCGGUGGAGCUUCUAGGACCCUACGCGUUUAAGAUGUUUAGCAUUUAAUGGAUUUCUACUAGUAACCUAAGCC
rnacentral:sRNA from 1 species